CAGUAGCCGCGGUAAUACGAAGGGGGCUAGCGUUGCUCGGAAUGACUGGGCGUAAAGGGCGCGUAGGCGGCCUACACAGUCAGAUGUGAAAUUCCUGGGCUCAACCUGGGGACUGCAUUUGAGACGUGUAAGCUUGAGUGGAGAAGAGGGUCGUGGAAUUACCAGUGUAGAGGUGAAAUUCGUAGAUAUUGGUAAGAACACCGGUGGCGAAGGCGGCGACCUGGUCUUUAACUGACGCUGAGGCGCGAAAGCGUGGGGAGCAAACAGGAUUAGAUACCCCGGUAGUCCCUGUCUCUUAUAC
rnacentral:rRNA from 1 species